UACGUAGGGACCGAGCGUUGUCCGGAAUCAUUGGGCGUAAAGAGCGUGUAGGCGGCCCUUUAAGUCCUGCGUGAAAUCCUGCGGCUCAACCGCAGACGGUCGUGGGAAACUGGAGGGCUAGAGUGCGGGAGAGGAGAGUGGAAUUCCCGGUGUAGCGGUGGAAUGCGCAGAUAUCAGGAAGAACACCAACGGCGAAGGCAGCUCGCUGGGACGGAACUGACGCUAAGGCGCGAAAGCGUGGGGAGCGAACAGG
rnacentral:rRNA from 1 species